GCCUCCGCCCGCACUCGCGCCCCCACCCGCGUCUCCUCGUCCCCUCUUGCCGCCUCCGGCUCCUCUCCUCUCACCCGGUUCUUCUUGAUUCGCCUGGCCGCGGUGAUGGUGGCGUGACGGAGCUCGCGCGAGGGCUUCGAAUCUGAGGUGCCAGCCAUCUCCUGUAAACGUACGCCGCUCGUGAUCGCGCGGACGGAGGGGUCCUCUUCUGCUGACGUACGCCGCUCGUGCUCGCGCGGACGGAGGGUUCCUCUUCUGCUGCUGCUCCGUCUGCAUCCUCCUCUGCCUCUCCUUCUCCUCGACCUCCACGGAGUCGUCGUCCAGCCACUCAAUUU
rnacentral:rRNA from 1 species